UACAGAGGUCCCGAGCGUUGUUCGGAUUUAUUGGGCGUAAAGGGUGCGUAGGCGGCGGAGUAAGUUGGGUGUGAAAUCCCGGGGCUCAACCUCGGAAUUGCAUUCAAUACUGCUUCGCUCGAGUACUGGAGAGGAGGCUGGAAUUUACGGUGUAGCAGUGAAAUGCGUAGAUAUCGUAAGGAAGGCCGGUGGCGAAAGCGAGCCUCUGGACAGUUACUGACGCUGAUGCACGAAGGCCAGGGGAGCAAACGGGG
rnacentral:rRNA from 1 species